rnacentral:rRNA from 1 species
UUGAACGCUGGCGGAAUGCUUUACACAUGCAAGUCGAACGGCAGCACGGGGGCAACCUUGGUGGCGAGUGGCGAACGGGUGAGUAAUGUAUCGGAACGUACCUAGUCGUGGGGGAUAACUAUCCGAAAGGAUAGCUAAUACCGCAUACGUCCUGAGGGAGAAAGCGGGGGAUCGCAAGACCUCGCGCGAUUGGAGCGGCCGAUAUCGGAUUAGCUAGUUGGUGAGGUAAAGGCCCACCAAGGCGACGAUCAGUAGCUGGUCUGAGAGGAUGAUCAGCCACACUGGAACUGAGACACGGUCCAGACUCCUACGGGAGGCAGCAGUGGGGAAUUUUGGACAAUGGGGGAAACCCUGAUCCAGCCAUUCCGCGUGAGUGAAGAAGGCCUUCGGGUUGUAAAGCUCUUUCAGGAGGGAAGAAACGGUUACGGAUAAUACCUGUGACUAAUGACGGUACCUUCAGAAGAAGCACCGGCUAACUACGU